rnacentral:rRNA from 1 species
AGAGUUUGAUCCUGGCUCAGAACGAACGCUGGCGGCGUGGAUCAGGCAUGCAAGUCGAACGCGAACACUUUCUUCGGAGAGUUAUUAGAGUGGCGAAAGGGUGAGUAAUGGUUGGACAAUCUACCCUCGAGUUGGGGAUAACUUCGAGAAAUCGAAGCUAAUACCGGAUACGAUCAUUUGAACGCAUGUUCAAGUGAUUAAAGAUGGGGAUCCUUCGGGACCUGUCGCUUGAGGAGGAGUCCAAUUCCUAUUAGCUUGUUGGUGAGGUAACGGCUCACCAAGGCUUUGAUGGGUACCCGGGCUGAGAGGCUGGUCGGGCACACCGGAACUGAGACACUGUCCGGACUCCUACGGGAGGCUGCAGUCGAGAAUCUUCCGCAAUGCGCGAAAGCGUGACGGAGCGACGCCGCGUGGACGAGGAAGGCCUUCGGGUUGUAAAGUCCUUUUAGGGGGUAUGAAUCGUAUUUGGGUUAAUAACCCUUUUACUUGACCUCAACCCCAGAAUAAGCCACGGCUAAUUCGUGCCAGCAGCCGCGGUAAGACGAAUGUGGCAAGCGUUGUUCGGAAUCACUGGGCUUAAAGCGCUCGUAGGCGGUUUUGUCAGUCAGCGGUGAAAUCCCCCGGCUCAACCGGGGAACUGCCUCUGAUACUGCAAAACUUGAGGAUAAGAGGGGAUAGUGGAAUUCUGGGUGUAGCGGUGAAAUGCGUAGAUAUCCAGGAGAACGCCGGUGGCGAAAGCGACUAUCUGGCUUAUUUCUGACGCUGAGGGGCGAAAGCUAGGGGAGCAAACGGGAUUAGAUACCCCGGUAGUCCUAGCCGUAAACGAUGGGCACUAGGUAGUGGAGGUCUGAUGCCUUCGCUGCUGUAGCAAAAGCGUUAAGUGCCCCGCCUGGGGAGUACGGUCGCAAGAUUAAAACUCAAAGGAAUUGACGGGGGCUCACACAAGCGGUGGAGGAUGCGGUUUAAUUCGAAGACACGCGAAGAACCUUACCAAGGUUUGACAUGCAGGGAUUAAUUCUGUGAAAGCAGAAGGAUUGCCUCACGGUGUAACCUGCACAGGUGCUGCAUGGCUGUCGUCAGAUCGUGUCGUGAGAUGUAGGGUUAAGUCCCCUAACGAACGAAACCCCUGUCCUUAGUUGCCAGCACGUAAUGGUGGGGACUCUAAGGAGACUGCCUCGGUUAACGGGGAGGAAGGUGGGGACGACGUCAAGUCCUCAUGGCCCUUAUGCCUUGGGCUACACGCGUCCUACAAUGGGCGGUACAAUGGGAAGCCAAGUCGCGAGACGGAGCAAAUCUCAUAAAGCCGUCCUCAGUUCGGAUUGCAGGCUGCAACUCGCCUGCAUGAAGGUGGAAUCGCUAGUAAUCGCCGGUCAGCUACACGGCGGUGAAUAUGUUCCUGAGCCUUGUACACACCGCCCGUCAAGCCAACCGAGUUGAGCUCACCAGAAAACGUUUACCCAACCUUCGGGAGGGACGCGUUUAAGGUGGGCUUGAUAAGGGGGACUAAGUCGUAACAAGGUA